GACGAACGCUGGCGGCGUGCCUAAUACAUGCAAGUCGAACGCUGAAGGAGGAGCUUGCUUCUCUGGAUGAGUUGCGAACGGGUGAGUAACGCGUAGGUAACCUGCCUGGUAGCGGGGGAUAACUAUUGGAAACGAUAGCUAAUACCGCAUAAUAGCAGUUGUUGCAUGACAACUGUUUGAAAGGUGCAAAUGCAUCACUACCAGAUGGACCUGCGUUGUAUUAGCUAGUUGGUGGGGUAAAGGCUCACCAAGGCGACGAUACAUAGCCGACCUGAGAGGGGGAUCGGCCACACUGGGACUGAGACACGGCCCAGACUCCUACGGGAGGCAGCAGUAGGGAAUCUUCGGCAAUGGACGGAAGUCUGACCGAGCAACGCCGCGUGAGUGAAGAAGGUUUUCGGAUCGUAAAGCUCUGUUGUAAGAGAAGAACGAGUGUGAGAGUGGAAAGUUCACACUGUGACGGUAUCUUACCAGAAAGGGACGGCUAACUACGUG
rnacentral:rRNA from 1 species